rnacentral:rRNA from 1 species
UACGAAGGGGGCUAGCGUUGUUCGGAAUCACUGGGCGUAAAGGGCGCGUAGGCGGCUUUUCAAGUCGGGGGUGAAAGCCUGUGGCUCAACCACAGAAUUGCCCUCGAUACUGUUAGGCUUGAGACCGGAAGAGGUGAGUGGAACUGCGAGUGUAGAGGUGAAAUUCGUAGAUAUUCGCAAGAACACCAGUGGCGAAGGCGGCCCACUGGUCCGGUUCUGACGCUGAGGCGCGAAAGCGUGGGGAGCAAACAGG